AUUGAACGCUGGCGGCAUGCUUUACACAUGCAAGUCGAGCGGCAGCGCGGGGGCAACCCUGGCGGCGAGCGGCGAACGGGUGAGUAAUGCAUCGGAACGUACCCGCAGUGGGGGAUAACCCAGCGAAAGCUGGGCUAAUACCGCAUAUGCUCUACGGAGGAAAGUGGGGGACUCGCAAGGGCCUCACGCUAUGGGAGCGGCCGAUGUCCGAUUAGCUAGUUGGUGGGGUAAUGGCCCACCAAGGCGACGAUCGGUAGCUGGUCUGAGAGGAUGAUCAGCCACACUGGGACUGAGACACGGCCCAGACUCCUACGGGAGGCAGCAGUGGGGAAUUUUGGACAAUGGGGGCAACCCUGAUCCAGCCAUGCCGCGUGCGGGAAGAAGGCCU
rnacentral:rRNA from 1 species